rnacentral:rRNA from 1 species
UACGAAGGGGGCUAGCGUUGCUCGGAAUCACUGGGCGUAAAGCGCACGUAGGCGGACUCUUAAGUCGGUGGUGAAAUCCUGGAGCUCAACUCCAGAACUGCCUUCGAUACUGGGAGUCUCGAGUUCGGGAGAGGUGAGUGGAACUGCGAGUGUAGAGGUGAAAUUCGUAGAUAUUCGCAAGAACACCAGUGGCGAAGGCGGCUGACUGGUCCGGUUCUGACGCUGAGGCACGAAAGCGUGGGGAGCAAACAGG